AUACGUAGGGAGCGAGCGUUGUCUGGAAUUACUGGGUGUAAAGGGAGCGUAGGCGGGAGUGCAAGUCAGAUGUGAAAUACAUGGGCUCAACCCAUGGGCUGCAUUUGAAACUGCAUUUCUUGAGUGAAGUAGAGGUAAGCGGAAUUCCUGGUGUAGCGGUGAAAUGCGUAGAUAUCAGGAGGAACACCGGUGGCGAAGGCGCCUUACUGGGCCUUUACUGACGCUGAGGCUCGAAAGCGUCGGGAGCAAACAGGAUUAGAUACCCUGGUAGUCCACGCUGUAAACGAUGAUUACUAGGUGUGGGGGGACUGACCCCUUACGUGCCGCAGUUAACACAAUAAGUAAUCCACCUGGGGAGUACGGCCGCAAGGUUGAAACUCAAAUGAAUUGGCGGGG
rnacentral:rRNA from 1 species